AGAGUUUGAUCCUGGCUCAGGAUGAACGCUAGCGGCAGGCUUAACACAUGCAAGUCGAGGGGCAGCGGGGAGGAAGCUUGCUUUCUCCGCCGGCGACCGGCGCACGGGUGAGUAACACGUAUGCAACCUGCCCCUGUCAGGGGGACAACCCGCCGAAAGGCGGGCUAAACCCGCGUACAUGCCACCGGGGCAUCCCGGAGGCAGGAAAGGCUUCGGCCGGACAGGGAUGGGCAUGCGGCGCAUUAGGCAGUAGGCGGGGUAACGGCCCACCUAACCGACGAUGCGUAGGGGUUCUGAGAGGAAGGUCCCCCACACUGGUACUGAGACACGGACCAGACUCCUACGGGAGGCAGCAGUGAGGAAUAUUGGUCAAUGGUCGGGAGACUGAACCAGCCAAGCCGCGUGAGGGAGGAAGGUAUAGAGUAUCGUAAACCUCUUUUGUCAGGGAACAAAGACUGGGACGCGUCCCCGGAUGAGUGUACCUGAAGAAAAAGCAUCGGCUAACUCCGUGCCAGCAGCCGCGGUAAUACGGAGGAUGCGAGCGUUAUCCGGAUUUAUUGGGUUUAAAGGGUGCGCAGGCGGUCUGUUAAGUCAGCGGUCAAAGCCCGGGGCUCAACCCCGGCCCGCCGUUGAAACUGGCAGUCUCGAGUUGGAGAGAAGUAUGCGGAAUGCGCGGUGUAGCGGUGAAAUGCAUAGAUAUCGCGCAGAACUCCGAUUGCGAAGGCAGCAUGCCGGCUCCACACUGACGCUGAGGCACGAAAGCGUGGGUAUCGAACAGGAUUAGAUACCCUGGUAGUCCACGCAGUAAACGAUGAAUGCUGGUUGUCCGGGUCGAAUGAGACCUGGGCGGCGAAGCGAAAGCGAUAAGCAUUCCACCUGGGGAGUACGCCGGCAACGGUGAAACUCAAAGGAAUUGACGGGGGCCCGCACAAGCGGAGGAACAUGUGGUUUAAUUCGAUGAUACGCGAGGAACCUUACCCGAGCUCAAACGGGGAGUGGCGCAGGCAGAGACGCCUGUUUCCCACGGGACACUCCCCGAGGUGCUGCAUGGUUGUCGUCAGCUCGUGCCGUGAGGUGUCGGCUUAAGUGCCAUAACGAGCGCAACCCCCGCGUGCAGUUGCUAACAGUCAACGCUGAGGACUCUGCACGGACUGCCGGCGCAAGCCGCGAGGAAGGCGGGGAUGACGUCAAAUCAGCACGGCCCUUACGUCCGGGGCGACACACGUGUUACAAUGGGUGGUACAGCGGGAAGCCAGGCGGCGACGCCGAGCGGAACCCGAAAUCCACUCUCAGUUCGGAUCGGAGUCUGCAACCCGACUCCGUGAAGCUGGAUUCGCUAGUAAUCGCGCAUCAGCCAUGGCGCGGUGAAUACGUUCCCGGGCCUUGUACUCAACGCCCGUCA
rnacentral:rRNA from 1 species